rnacentral:rRNA from 1 species
AUUGAACGCUGGCGGCAGGCUUAACACAUGCAAGUCGAGCGGGGGAAGGUAGCUUGCUACCGGACCUAGCGGCGGACGGGUGAGUAAUGCUUAGGAAUCUGCCUAUUAGUGGGGGACAACAUCUCGAAAGGGAUGCUAAUACCGCAUACGUCCUACGGGAGAAAGCAGGGGAUCUUCGGACCUUGCGCUAAUAGAUGAGCCUAAGUCGGAUUAGCUAGUUGGGGGGGUAAAGGCAGACCAAGGAGACGAUCUGUAGCGGGUCUGAGAGGAUGGUCCGCCGAACUGGGACUGAGACACGGCCCAGACUCCUACGGGAGGCAGCAGUGGGGAAUAUUGGACAAUGGGGGGAACCCUGAUCCAGCCAUGCCGCGUGUGUGAAGAAGGCCUUAUGGUUGUAAAGCACUUUAAGCGAGGAGGAGGCUACUCUAGUUAAUACCUAGGGAUAGUGGACGUUACUCGCAGGAUAAGCACCGGCUAACUCUGUGCCAGCAGCCGCCGUAA